ensembl:snRNA U6 U6 spliceosomal RNA
AAGCUCACUUCAGCAGCAUGUAUGCUAAAAUUAGAAGGAUACUGAGAAAAUUAUCAUGGCCUCCUGGGCAAGGAAGACACAAGUUAAUGAAGUGCUUGGGUAUUUUUCU